rnacentral:lncRNA from 1 species
GCCUUCUACCCUGGGCCUCACCCCACAGGACUCUCCCUCCCCAAGACAAUGAGAGCAGAUUGUCACUUGUGCCCUCCAGGUUUCGACCCCCUACCCAACAUCUGGGCCAAUCCCCUCGAUCCUGUGUGAGAGGCCUGCACAUCUCCCCUCACCUGGACAGCAGCAGCGGGGGAGGGGGGGCGGAGGGGGGCACAGACCACCCAGAAGCCUUCCUCAUCACCCGCUGGGACAGCCCCUGGGGAGAAGCCUCCCCCACCACUCCCACUAUGGCCACCAGGACCGUGGUGGGGAAAGGUGGGGAAAAUCACCAGGAUGCAAGGAAGUCAAUGAUUUGAACGAACGGAAUUUCUUUGUCCUUUGUAAAAGUCAACACAUGAUCUGUUACUGAUUGGGAUGUGAAAUAAAACUAAAAAUAACAGCACACCGAGUCUCCUGCAAGGCUCAGCUCACCUUU